GCUUGCCCACACGCUGAGCCUUAUUCCAUGUAAUCGUAGGCGGGAUUGCUCACUUUUAACAGAUCAUGGCCCUUUUGGCCUAACCAUUCCUCCACAAAUCAGAGCUAUGGAAAGGGAAAAUGAUACAAGUCAGAGCCCAGAGAGAAAUCUGCCUAAUUGGUGACUGAAAGAUUGUUUAUUUGCAACAAAACGUUGGAGUAAUCUGUGUAUGAUUUUUUGUCUUCCUCUAGGCUCUACAAUAUUUCUUGUACCACGGCAAAAGAGGGUGCCAAAGAAGUGGGGCUUCCCUUCAAUAAUUAUUUAGAUUUCUUCAAAGAGGGGAAAAGGAUAGGAAACAAGACAUAACUUCCAGUCCAAUGAGCCUGUUUCCUGUCCUUUACCUAGUCUUUAAAUCACAGCAAUUCUUUGUCUUUAACUCCAGAACAAUGUUCAAAAAGCCUCACUGUGCUUUCUGAACAGGUUGUGGCUUUGUUGCUAUCCUGCCUGUUUGAAGAUGUUGAUGAAGAGGGUAAAAAACCCACUUUCCUUCCCACAGAUAUAUAUACUUGCUAUACAAAACCAAAAUGUUGCACUAAGUGCUGUUCUUUUUCUUCCUUGGGUUUCAUGUGUUAUCUUGAGUUGAAUCUUCCUAGCAUUCUUUGUAAUUAUGAUUACAUUGCACAGAGAUGCAUAAUAUAAUGAUAAACAAGAGUCAGUCUAUCUGUUUUACUGCAGAGCUCAAAGUUGGCCAGUUUCCCUAACCUUUUGAUUCGCAGUGCAGAUUCUCAACUGGUUAUGCCUUACAUGCAGCCUACAAUCUUUUCUGGGAUGGCAUCCUUUUAUUCAAAUGAUGGAGACAAGAAGUAGGAGGUUGGUAGCAACAAACAGGAGACUUCUUUUGAUUGAUUAUGCAUGCAAAUAGGAGAUUGUUUUUCUGCUGAUCACAUAUACAAAUAUAUAGUCUUCAAAUGGCCUAUGCAACACUGUUUAACCUUAGGACACUUAGGGAUUUCUGAGGAGCUGUUCUUACUGAAACUGCCCAGCCAAGUUAGGUUUUAUAUUCUUCACAGGGAAAAAAUACUGCAGUUUUAUGUUGUUUCUAUGUGUUUUUGUGUUGGAUUAAAGGUUUAUCACCCUCUUCAAAUGCUUUCAAAUUGAAGCAUAGAUCUUUUUAUCAUAUUUAUACCAGAUGCAGAUGCCUUUUGCAAAGCCGUAAGAAAAACUUCCCUUACAAGCUGUCAUCUCAGACCCAUGAGGUAUGAAGAGAUGCACCCUCUAGUGAGCACGCUCUUCGUAUUAUUUGUUUCUGCUUUCUGUGAUUUAUGUGUGCACACACACAGUGCAUCCAUCAACCUCAGCAGGGUUUUGUACCAAUCACUGCAGCACAGCGUGUGACUGGCAAGGCUGCUUCUCCCAUAGACAGGCAGUCCAGGACAGAAGUGCCCUUCCUUAGCUGUGAUGCUACCUGGUAUUGGAGGUAAUAGACAAAACUAAAUGCUACAUAUAAUGAUUUUCUGCAUCCUUCAGUAUUUCAAAGGCUUAAGAGCAAACAAGUAUUAGAAGUACAAGGCAACUGGUGAGGAUGGCGUUUAUUCAGAAGGAUCCAUGCAGGCUCUCAAGUGACAGCUUUUAAACCUCUGAAGGGAGGUGAAGUGUUUUUAUCCUUCUGGGCUCCUCUCCGUCAGUCUCUUAAACAGUAUCCGCGAAAUUUGCGCCCAGUGCUCUCGGCGGCUCUGAGGCCUACCUGGGGAGUGUUGGAGUAGCACGUGGUUAUGCUUGAUGCUUUCCCGCACGGGCUGUGCGCGGUGCCGGUGCCGGUGCGGGUGCCGGUGCGCUGAGCUGGCACAGGAGGCACGUCCUGGCACGGCUCGCGGUAGCGCUGCUGGCGCCCCGGCUUUUGCCCUGGGUGGGGCGGCAGCUUGAGAAGCGCCGUAACCGCGCUGCGCGGCGGAGUUGCGGGUUUUCGGAGGCUACCAAAACGAUCCUGGCGUCUGUGCCCGCGCUGCCACUUCUUGCCCCGGCGUCGGCGAGAAAAGGGGGUGAAUGUGAGAAAACGUGACAGGAGGGCGGCGCCGGGGCCUUCCCCAGCGGCUCCCCGAGCGGC
ensembl:lncRNA